AAUUGGAGGGCAAGUCUGGUGCCAGCAGCCGCGGUAAUUCCAGCUCCAAUAGCGUAUAUUAAAGUUGUUGCAGUUAAAAAGCUCGUAGUUGAAUUUCGGGAUUGACGUGAUGGUCGUGCCUUAAGGGGUAUGAACUGUUGCUGUUGAUUUCUCACCUUCUGGAGAAACUUGAUGUCCUUAAUUGGGUGUCUUGCGGAUCCAGGACCUUUACCUUGAAAAAAUUAGAGUGUUUAAAGCAGGCAUUUUGCUCGAAUACAUUAGCAUGGAAUAAUAGAAUAGGACGGCAUGGUUCUAUUUUGUUGGUUUCUAGGAUCACCGUAAUGAUUAAUAGGGAUAGUUGGGGGCAUUAGUAUUCAAUUGUCAGAGGUGAAAUUCUUGGAUUUAUUGAAGACUAACUACUGCGAAAGCAUUUGCCAAGGAUGUUUUCAUUAAUCAAGAACGAAAGUUAGGGGAUCGAAGACGAUCAGAUACCGUCGUAGUCUUAACCAUAAAACUAUGCCGACUAGGAAUCAGACGAUGUUAAUUUUUUAAUGACUCGUUUGGCACCUUACGGGAAACCAAAGUGU
rnacentral:rRNA from 1 species